AACAGGAUUAGAUACCCUGGUAGUCCACGCCGUAAACGAUGUCAACUAGCCGUUGGAAUCCUUGAGAUUUUAGUGGCGCAGCUAACGCAUUAAGUUGACCGCCUGGGGAGUACGGCCGCAAGGUUAAAACUCAAAUGAAUUGACGGGGGCCCGCACAAGCGGUGGAGCAUGUGGUUUAAUUCGAAGCAACGCGAAGAACCUUACCUGGCCUUGACAUGCUGAGAACUUUCCAGAGAUGGAUUGGUGCCUUCGGGAACUCAGACACAGGUGCUGCAUGGCUGUCGUCAGCUCGUGUCGUGAGAUGUUGGGUUAAGUCCCGUAACGAGCGCAACCCUUGUCCUUAGUUACCAGCACGUUAUGGUGGGAACUCUAAGGAGACUGCCGGUGACAAACCGGAGGAAGGUGGGGAUGUUUUCAAGUCAUCAUGGCCCUUACGGCCAGGGCUACACACGUGCUACAAUGGUCGGUACAAAGGGUUGCCAAGCCGCGAGGUGGAGCUAAUCCCAUAAAACCGAUCGUAGUCCGGAUCGCAGUCUGCAACUCGACUGCGUGAAGUCGGAAUCGCUAGUAAUCGUGAAUCAGAAUGUCACGGUGAAUACGUUCCCGGGCCUUGUACACACCGCCCGUCACACCAUGGGAGUGGGUUGCACCAGAAGUAGCUAGUCUAACCUUCGGGAGGACGGUUACCACGGUGUGAUUCAUGACUGGGGUGAAGUCGUAACAAGGUAGCCGUAGGGGAACCUGCGGCUGGAUCACCUCCUU
rnacentral:rRNA from 1 species